CCGGAUAUUAAAUUGGAUUGCCUCCGUUAUUAUCGGAAUUGGAAAUGUAGUCAAUGUAAAGUGGGUCCAGAGUCUCAAAUGUCUCAGUAGCGAUUACUAUACAUUAAAUGGGAGUUAAAAGAGUGAUGUGUGCUCUAAGUUUGUUUGUUGUCAUCACAUUCUUCAACAAUAGUUUCAUUUAGUUGAGGGUGUGAGCACAAUAAUGUGUUUGGUGUGUUACUAUUGCCUUCACUACAGUCGACACCAGAGAAUACAUUAGGUAGUUGAAUCAACAAUUUUUUUUGUUGAUAUAUUGAAACUCAAGUUGUUAAUUGAGAUAUCAAACUGCAGAUACUGAUGCGGUUUUCAGGUUGUAAAAAUUUAC
rnacentral:lncRNA from 1 species